rnacentral:rRNA from 1 species
GACGAACGCUGGCGGCGUGCUUAACACAUGCAAGUCGAACGGAAAGGCCCUGCUUGCAGGGUACUCGAGUGGCGAACGGGUGAGUAACACGUGGGUGAUCUGCCCUGCACUUCGGGAUAAGCCUGGGAAACUGGGUCUAAUACCGGAUAGGAGCCAUUUUUAGUGUGAUGGUUGGAAAGUUUUUUCGGUGUAGGAUGAGCUCGCGGCCUAUCAGCUUGUUGGUGGGGUAAUGGCCUACCAAGGCGGCGACGGGUAGCCGGCCUGAGAGGGUGGACGGCCACAUUGGGACUGAGAUACGGCCCAGACUCCUACGGGAGGCAACAGUGGGGAAUAUUGCACAAUGGGCGCAAGCCUGAUGCAGCGACGCCGCGUGGGGGAGGACGGCCUUCGGGUUGUAAACUCCUUUCGCUAGGGACGAAGCUUUUGUGACGGUACCUAGAUAAGAAGCACCGGCUAACUACGU